ACAAACUUGGUCAUUUAGAGGAAGUAAAAGUCGUAACAAGGUUUCUGUAGGUGAACCUACAGAAGGAUCAUUAUCGAGGAGGGUCUCUAGGCCCGAUCUCCAACCCUUUUAAUAAAAUACCGUGUUGCUUUGGCAGGCCCGCCUAUAUAGCCGUGGGGGAUCACUGGUCCCUAGCCUGUGCCUGCCAGUAGCCCUCGAAAACCCUCAAAAUGUGUCGUCUAAGGAAUACAAUAAUAAAAAAACUUUCAACAACGGAUCUCUUGGUUCUGGCAUCGAUGAAGAACGCAGC
rnacentral:misc_RNA from 1 species